AUUGAACGCUGGCGGCAUGCUUUACACAUGCAAGUCGAACGGCAGCGGGGGCUUCGGCCCGCCGGCGAGUGGCGAACGGGUGAGUAAUGCAUCGGAACGUGCCCAUGUCGUGGGGGAUAACUACGCGAAAGCGUAGCUAAUACCGCAUACGCCCCGAGGGGGAAAGCGGGGGACGUCUUCGGAGCCUCGCGCGAUUGGAGCGGCCGAUGCCGGAUUAGCUAGUUGGUGAGGUAAAGGCUCACCAAGGCGACGAUCCGUAGCGGGUCUGAGAGGAUGAUCCGCCACACUGGGACUGAGACACGGCCCAGACUCCUACGGGAGGCAGCAGUGGGGAAUUUUGGACAAUGGGGGCAACCCUGAUCCAGCCAUGCCGCGUGAGUGAAGAAGGCC
rnacentral:rRNA from 1 species